AAAGGCGACUAUAGGGUUGCGGCGCUCAUCUCGCUUUCAGGCCUAGGGAGCUGGCCUUUGUCCACAGACAGCUUUCCGGAUCAUGUGGCCAGCAUGACUAAACCGCUUCUGGCUCAACAGAACACCGUGACAGAAACCAGAGCACACGGAAACGCUGUUUACCUUCCUACCAAAGCGGUACCUAUUUAUCUACUUGCACUGGUGUGCUUUCGAACUGCUAGGUUGGCAGGAGCUGGGACAGAGCAACGGGAGCUCACCCCAUUGUGCAGAUUCGAACCGCCGACCUUCUGAUCAGAAAGCCCAAGAGUCUCAGUGGUUUAGACCACAGCGCCACCCGCAUCCCAUAUUAUGCCUAUAUAUAUAUAUAUAUAUAUAUAUAUAUAUAUAUAAUAGGGGAGAUCUCACAGCAUCAACACCUCAACAGAUCUUGCUUCUCCAUUAGUCACAGCUUUGGAUCCAGCACAGACCCGAAAAAGGCGGAAGCUUAAUUGAAAGCAUUAGGGUGGGCUGGACUAGUGGGGAAAGCGAAAGAGGUUGAGGUGGGGACUUUUGCAAUGUGAAAUUUCGGCAGCGUUUGUCUCUCUUUGUUUCCGCGCAUUGACCCAGACAGAGAAAAAGGCAGAAGAAUCCCAAGAAUUUCCAAGAGCCUGCUCCCAGCCAGCUCUGCCUCUCAUCCACCCCCCCGCCCUGAAAGUCCCUUCAUCCGCUCAUGUCUCUGAGCCCACACUGGCUGCCAGUUGACAAAAGAAUUGCUGAGGAGGAAAAGGAAUCCAUGACAGCGGGCAGCUGUGGGUGGGGGUGGCCUUUGGAGAGUUGCGUUUUCGCUGUCAAGAUCGCCAGGAUGGUGUCAGGAGAAGAUAAGGAGAGCCUGAGUGCUGGACCCAUUCAGUUCUCACAGUGACCAACAGACACCCAUGGCGAGCACACAAGUAGGACCUGAGCACAACAGCCCCUCUUCCUAUGUGUAAUUCCCACUAACUGGUGUCAUACCCUCCAAUAUUUCUCUGAUGAAAAUAGCGACAGCAUAUUCCAUAAUAAUAAUAAUAAUAAUAUUUAGACCCGCUCCUCUGACUGGGUUGUCCCAGUCUCCCUCAUAUAUAAAAACAUAAUAAAACAUUCAACAACUUAGAAUGUUAGAGUGAUGUUGGACUGAAAAUAAGCGGUUUCCAGCUGUACAGGUUAAAGUUAAUGAUAGACUAAGAUUAAGAUUAGGAUUAAAGAUGUUUAAAGAAAUGGAAAUCUGACAAUUAAGAGGGAAAAUUUUAAUGUUAUAUUAUACUAAGAUUAAAGAUCAGGUUUAAAGAAAUUGAAGAUAUAUAUUACAAUAUUAUAUUAAAGUUAAAGAUUGGGAUUAAAAAAGUUGAAAAGAAAUUGCUGGACAAACAAUUUGGAUUGGAAUACAAAAGAGGGAGGUAUGAGGAAGUCCAGAAAAUAAGCAAACUAAAAAAAACGGAAAUGGAAAAGAGAUAUUGUUUUUAAUUGUUAUGUUUUUUGUUUUUUAUUGUUGAAUUGUGUUCUUUUUUGUGUGUUCUUGUUAUCUUUUUUUUUGAGAUAUGUAUAGUGUAUGUUCUUCUUUUCUUUCUUUGUUGUUCAAACUUAAAUAAAAAUUAUUUACAAAAAAAACAAAAAACAAAAAACAUUCAACAACUUAAAACUUUCCUCUACAGGGCUGCCGUCAGAUGUCUUCUAAAGGUUGUGUACAGUGGACGCUUGGGUUGCGAAUGUGAUCUGUGCGGGAUACAUAUUCGCAACCUGAAGCGUUCGCAACCUGCAGCUGCGCGUCAGUGCACCCACGGGUUGCAAUUUGGCGCUUCUGCGCAUGCGCGACUGCCGAAAUCCGGAAGUAACCCGUUCCGGUACUUCCGGGUUUCGGUGGUCCGUAACCCGGAAAAACGCGACCUAAAGUGUCUGCAACCCGAGGUAUGGCUGUAGUUACUUAUCUCUUUGGCUUGCAUAACUCCAUAGCUUCCAACAUUUCUCCGAUGAAAACAGGGACGGCCUAAGGAAAAGUGGGACAUUCUGGGAUCAAAUCAGGAAACGAGACGGCUUCUGUAAAUCCGGGACUGUCUCUGGAAAAUAGGGACACUUAGAGAGUCUGUGGUAUUCAGAGGGUGCUUUCAACAGUGGAGGUAGAACAUAGCCGUCAAGGAGAUACGCGCGUGCGCACGCACAUACACACACACACCUGCCCUUUUGACUGGGUUGCUCCUAGCCAUCAUUGAUAGUAUUGUUGUUGUUGUUUAGUCAUUUAAUCGUGUCCGACUCUUCGUGACCCCCUGGACCAGAGCACGCCAGGCACUCCUGUCUUCCACUGCCUCCUGCAGUUUGGUCAAACUCAUGCUGGUAGCUUCAAGAACACUGUCCAACCAUCUCAUCCUCUGUUGUCCCUUUCUCCUUAUGCCCUCCAUCUUUCCCAACAUCAGGGUCUUUUCCAGGGAGUCUUGUCUUCUCAUGAGGUGGCCAGAGUAUUGGAGCCUCAGCUUCAGCAUCUGUCCUUCCAGUGAGCACUCAGGGCUGAUUUCCAGUGAGCACUCAAUGGCUAGGUUUGAUCUUCUUGCAGUCCAUGGGACUCUCAGGAGUCUCCUCCAGCACCAGAAUUCAAAAGCAUCCAUUUUUUGACGAUCAGCCUUCUUUUUGGUCCAGCUCUUACUUCCAUAUAUCACUACUGGGAAAACCAUAGCUUUCACUAUACAGACCUUUGUUGGCAAGGUGAUUGAUAGUAUUAUUCACCCUAAAACUGCCGAAUCCCCCUUUUCAAAGUCAUCCAAGUUGGUGACCAUUGCUACCCGCUGUGGGAGUGACUUCCAUGGUUUAACUAUGCACUGUGAGGAGAAACACUCUAUUUUGAACGAUGUCAAUCAACAUCUGAUGAUCUCCUUCUACUGGUCCACAAUAGAAAGUGUCCUUUCAUACUGCAUCACGGUGUUGUACGCUGGUUUGACAUCAACUGAUAGGAAGAGCCUACAGAGGAUGGUGAAUACAGCACAAGAUAUUAUGGGCUGUCCCGUGAAUCCGCUGGAUGAAAUAGCGGAAGAACGUUGCCUCAGGAGAGUGAGGAAAAUUCUCAGGGAUGAUUCACACCCUGGCCGGCACUUUCUUGAUCUCCUGCCCUCGGGCAGAAGAUAUAGAAGCAUGAUUAGUCGCACCAACAGGGUAAAGAUCAGCUGCUAUCUGUGGGCUGUUAGGCUGCUGAAUGAAAAGAUAACAACAGGGCAACUGACUUUUGGGUUUGGUGUGUGUGUGUCAGUAAACAAGUGGAAUUCAGACUAAGAGAGCUUAGUGGGGGGUGCUCGUGUAAUCUCACUGUAUACAAGUUGUACAAGUGACAAUAAAGUAUUUCAAUUUGUCUGUCCUGAGCCUACCAACAUCCAGCACUGGCAAGAGCCCUUCUGGAUCACACCAACAGACCAUCGAGUGCAGCAUGCUGUUCUCACAUCAUGGCAAGGAGCCAUGAAUUUGCCAAAUCCUGUUCUUUUUUUUAAAAGCCAUCCAAGUGGGUGGCCCUCAUUACCUCUUGAGGGAGUAAAUUCCGUAGUUUAACUAUGGGCUGCUGUAUGAAAGAAUACAGGCGCAGUCAAGCCUGGUGUUCUUGUGGGAAUUUUCUCCACUGAAAAGCGAGAGUGCCUGAUGGCACUUGCCAUCAGGCAAAAGUAGUCACACGCCAAGGCAAGGGUGGGAGUUGAAUGCAGACCGCCAGGCCUCUCUGUCCAAAGCUGCCUAGGCCACGCCUCCUCUUCUCAGGCCACUCCCCGCACCCACCCUGCUCACAUCCACUUUCCUUCCUCCAGCCCACCCUUGCAAUGUGGCCCGGAGGAGAUUGUCUAUAAAAGAAUGUGGCCCCUAAUCUGGGAAAAUAUUCUCCACAUCUGCUCCAAGGACUUUUUUUUGCUGCUAGUGACUGUCUUUUUUUCAACUUGCCAAGCUCCAAAGUGAGCUUUUUAAUACUGCUUUGCUCCUAUUCUACCUUGCUGUAUCGAUUUUGCAGCUGUCUUCUCGGUUUGAUUUAUUGGAUGUUGUUUUAAUUUGUAAACCACUAUGGAAUUUUUUAUGAGUAGGUGGUUUGUCAAUCUUUUAAGUAAAAUAAACACGGACAUGCAAGUUUCACCUGCUAUUUUAUUGCUGACGGGGUUAUUGAAUGUCUAAUUUUACGUUAAUAUGUUUUGAUUGCUUAAUCACCUGGGGGAUUUUUUUGCAAAACGUGCAGUAGAGAUACAGGGUUGUACCCAGUUAAGUUCUACUCUGAAUAGACCCAUUGAAAUCAAGCGUCUGUGAUUUAUUCCUAAGCCUAACAUCCUAAGCAUUUUCACUGGGAACAUUUGUUUAAAGGUGGAUGAGGGCAGAUGUAAAACCAAAUGAGUUUUAAUGCGCUUGGAGCAGUCAUCAUUGUACUUAAACUCUGCAAUGAGAGAGUAAGAAUUUAUUUCCCAAACAUCUUUCUUCAAUACACAUCAUGUUAUGUACUGAGUUGAAUAGGAUCCAAAAUGCAGAAGUCUGAUUGGUCCUAGAACAAUAGGAUUCAGAAUGCAGCACUCUGAUUGGUCCUAGAACAAUGCAGCAGUCUGAUUGGUCUGCAGAAGCCACCCAAUCCAGCUCCAGAUGGAAGUGAAUCCACAACCUGAUUGGCCUACAGGAGAAUUCCGGAAUUAGCCAAUCACGUGCAACCCAUUGUGUAAAUAAUGUAUAUAAAGCAGACACUUUGAGGGGACAUUUAUUCCUUCUCACCACUAUGAGCUGAAUAAAGAGCACGAAAUCCACUCUCGACUCUGAGUAUAUUUCACAUCAGAAUGACCAGUGCUGAUAAGCAACAGUGGGUGAGAAUUAUUGCUCCCAUGCCCUGAUUAUGGGCUUCUUAGAGGCAGCUGGAUGGUCCUUAAGGGGACCAGGAGACUGGAGUAGAUGGAUCAUUAGUCUGAUCCAUGCAAGUAGGACUAACAUUGGUUACAACCCACAGAGUUGGGCAGAUCCUUGGAGGCCUCUAGUCUAGAUCUGAAAUGUGAGAUGGAGAAGGAGCAACCCUGACUGACGGUUGUUGAGUCUCCACUUGAUAGCGUCCAGAGAAGGAGGUCCCACCACCUCCCAGGGCAGUCUAUUCCAGGAUCAAACAGCUCUGGCCAUUAGGAAAUUCCUCCUGGAAUCCUCUUCCCCACGAAUUCCAUUCAUGGGCUAUAAUCCUGCCCUCUGGAGAAACAGGAGGCAGGUCUGCUUCAUCUUCUGCAUGACAGGCUUCCAGAUAUUUGAAGGCUGCUAUCACAUCUCCUCUUCAAUCGUCGGUUCCCCAGGCUAAGCAUACCUCUCUGACGAACCCCAAACAUCACCUGCAGAGAUGAGACCUAAGAAGGUGUGAGAAGGGCAGUUUCUGUUGAAUAUUGAAAUUGAAAUACUUCAUUGUCACUUGUAAAACUUGUAUACAGUGAGAUUACACAAGCACCUCCCACUCAGCUCUCUUAGUCUUAAUUCCCCUCGUUUACUGACGCACACCCACCAAACCCAAAAGUCAGUUGCCCUGUUGUUAUCUUUUCAUUCAGCAGCCUAACAGCCCAUGGACAGAGGCUGUUCUUUACCCUGUUGGUGCAACUAAUCAUGCUUCCAUAUCUUCUCCCUAAGGGCAGGAGAUCAAGAAAGUGCCGGCCAGGAUGUGAAUCAUCCCUGAGAAUUUUCCUCACUCUCCUGAGGCAACGUUCUUCCGCUAUUUCAUCCAGCGGAUUCACGGGACAGCCCAAAAUAUAUUGUGCUGUAUUCACCACCCUCUGCAGGCACUUCCUAUCAGUUGAUGUCAAACCAGUGUACCACACCGUGAUGCAGUAUGAAAGGACACUUUCUAUUGUGGACUGGUAGAAGGAGAUCAUCAAAUGUUGAUUGACAUCGUUCUUUCUCAAUAAUCUGAGGAGAUGGAGUCUCUGUUGGGCUUACUUAACCACCUGGGUUGUAUUUAUUUUCCAAGUAAGGUCUUCACUGAGAUACACUCCUAGGAAUUUAAAGGAAGAGAUAUUAAUUAAAAUAUUAAUGCUGAGAACCAAACCCAAGGUUGGAAAAAAAAUGAGAAAUUAAGGCAAAUCUAAACAUUGUUCCUUUUGUCUCAGGACUGGAGCUAAGAGGCAGAACUGAGUGCUUAGAGGUUGAUCUUUGAUGGAGCUCAGUACAAAAAGGGGCACAACUGAUAAUAAUAAUAAUAAUAAUAAUAAUAAUAAUAAUAAUAAUAAAAAUAAAACAAGAACCCAGUCCUGUGUGGGAGAAAACCUAUCCUUUCAUCUUGCUAAUCUAUUUCCCAAAGUAGGAGGCAGUUAGACUCUUCCUGCUCCAUCCCCUCCUGUGGCCAGCUGUCUAUACUACAGCCGCCCACCAGACUUUAACCCAGUGCUGUGGAAUGCCGGCUGAUGGGGUGGUCUCUCUCUCAUGGAAAACAGCCUCUUUUUCUCCACUGUUCUGCUGUGAAACCACAGCCAUUCCCUUCCACCCCACCCUAGAGCUCAGCGCACAUCACCCCUUUCCCUGAAUGCUCCCACAAGGUGUUUCCUCUCCUGCGGACGAUAAUGGAACUGAAUGCUAUUUUAAGACCCAUGUUUGUUGGCUCAGCCUGAUGCAGUGCUGGGGGAAAAAACACAACUUGAUCUGAAUCACAACUAAACAUGUUUACAGUCAUCUCGGGGUGAAGACAGAUGUAUCGUUGUGUGUGUGGAGGGGUCAUCUGGAUAACUGAGAGCAGCAAAGGUGGAGGACCAGCGUGCCUUUGAAUAGCAAUGGACGUGACUUGAAUUUUGAACGGAUGCCCAUUGCCCUGAAAACAAAUGCCUUCGAAUGGAUGCAGCAAAACUUGCACCAGAGCCACACUUUUUCAUCACUGUCUUCAUCCCGAGAAACUAUUGCCUUUGUCUUCAUCCUUAGGAACGUUAAAUAUCUUGAAGGAUGGGGAGGGGAUUGAAUUAGGCUCAAAUGGACCCAUCUGUUUUGUUUUUAAAAGCAACCAAAUUCUUACUAGUGAGGUAGGGGAGCUGGGGGAAAAUCACAUCAGGCAACCAAUGCACCCCUUGGGUUUCAGAUAGUACAUGUGUUGUUUAAUAAUAAUAAUAAUAAUUUAUUAUUUAUACCCCGCCCAUCUGGCUGAGUUUCCCCAGCCACUCUGGGUGACUCCCGAUCCAGUGUUAAAAACAAUACAGCAUUAAAUAUUAAAAACUUCCCUAAACAGGGCUGCCUUCAGAUGUCUUUUAAAAAUAAGAUAGCUGCUUAUUUCCUUGACAUCUGAUGGGAGGGUGUUCUACAGGGUGGGUGCCACUACCGAGAAGGCCCUCUGCCUGGUUCCCUGUAACUUUACUUCUCGCAGUGAGGGAACCGCCAGAAGGCUCUCGGCACUGGAUCUCAGUGUCUGGGCUGAACGAUGGGGGUGGAGUCGCUCCUUCAGGGAUACAGGAUCUGAGGUUGUUUAGUCGUGUCUGACUCUUCAUGACCCCCUGGACCAGAGCACGCCAGGCACUCCUGUCUUCCACUGCCUCCCGCAGUUUGGUCAGACUCAUGCUGGUAGCUUCGAGAACACUGUCCAACCAUCUCGUCCUCUGCUGUCCUCUUCUCCUUGUGCCCUUCAUCUUUCCCAACAUCAGGGUCUUUUCCAGGGAGUCUUCUCUUCUCAUAAGGUGGCCAAAGUCUUGGAUCCUCAGCUUCAGGACCUGUCCUUCCAGUGAGCACUCAGGGCUGAUUUCCUUCAGAAUGGAUAGGUUUGAUCUCCUUGCAGUCCAUGGGACUCUCAAGUGUCUCCUCCAGCACCAUAAUUCAAAAGCAUCAGCCUUCUUUAUGGUCCAGCUCUCACUUCCCUACAUCACUACUGGGGAAACCAUAGCUUUAACUAUACGGACCUUUGUUGGCAAGGUGAUGGGUAGAUGAGUCUAAAAAGCCCGGAACAGUUGUGCAAUAGAUGUUGACCCACCAUGGGAGCUGGAGACCAUUGGAACUGGUAGGGUGGAAGACAGAGAAACCAACAUUAAGGGGACUGGGAGCUAGUGACAGGUACAGCCACCACCUGUUUGGUGGCAAGUCAGAAGGCAGGCAGAGGGGUCUGGCUGAGGCCAGACUGAGGUUGAUAGGGCAAUGCCCCUUUCACGCUAAUAGACCACCUUCUCCUGUUGGUCCACCAUCUAUCACAGUGUUUCCCAAACUUGGGUCGCCAGCUGUUUUUGGACUACAACUCCCAUCAUCCCUUGCUAGCAGGACCAGUGGUCAGGGAUGAUGGGAAUUGUGGUCCCCAAGCAGCUGGAGACCCAAGUUUGGCCAACACUGAUCUAUCACAUCCUUUUGCUUUGGGUUGAAUUAAUGGCUGACUUGCUGAAUAUGCUGGUUAGAAGCUGAGGAUAUUUCACCGGAGUGGGAGAAAGCCAGAGCGUUGCAGGGUGAGGCUAUAAAUCUGGCUUAUUGGCUAACGAAGCUUUCAUACUGCCUUGGCACCAAUGGUCCAACCCUGAGCCAAGGCUUGCAGGCAGCUAAUUAAAUUCAGUGGCUGUGAUACAAGGAGGGGAUUCUUGGAGGAGAGAGAGAGAGAGAGAGAGAGAGAAAGCAACGAAGUUUCUGCUGGGUGAAAACUAGACUGGUGGGCCGAAACUGGAAAUCAAACAAAUGCGGCCCUCAGUGCCUCUGAAUCCGGACCCCGGGACUCUUCCCCAAGUUACACAACCUCACCAGGCCACACUUUCCUCUGGCUUUACUUCAGAUCCUCCUUCAGUCAAUAAAUUCUUCUACCACAAAGACAAAUGGUUUGCAUGAAAUAAGACACUGGGCUAACUAAUACAAGUGAGAGGACCCAUUUGGCCCUCCAGGUGUUGCUGGACUACAACUCCCAUCACCCCUGACCAUUGGCCAUGCUUGUUGGGGCUGAUGGGAGUUGUAGUCCAGGAACACCUGGCAGGCCGAAUGGGCCCUCUCACCUGUAUUAAUUAGUCCCGUGUGUUAUUUCACGCCAACCAUUUGUCUUUGUGGUAGAAGAAGUAUUGACUUUGGCUAUUAUGGAAAAAAUAAUAUAAACUAUGUAUCUCUGGAGGAUACCAAUCAUUUCUGAUAACUAUUUUUUUGGGGGGGGGGAGUUAUUGAUACAAUGUUUGAUUGUUAUUGGUAUACAUUUUUAUCUAGGUAUUUUCGCACUACCUUUCAGGUCAAAUCUUCACUCAAUGAAGUGAAAAAGGGAUGGGAGUGCCUAAAUGAAUACCUUAAAAGCCCAGGUUUGAGGACAGAAAUCUGGCUGAGUCUGGAAUAAGCUUGUGAAGUGAAAGGAUAAGAAAGAGGG